GAUGAACGCUAGCUACAGGCUUAACACAUGCAAGUCGAGGGACCGGCGCACGGGUGAGUAACACGUAUCCCACCUGCCCUUUACUCGGGGAUAGCCUUUCGAAAGAAAGAUUAAUACCCGAUCUAAAGGAUGGGGAUGCGUUCCAUUAGGUUGUUGGUAAGGUAACGGCCCACCCAGCCUUCGAUGGAUAGGGUUUAUGAGAGGAAGGUCCCCCACAAUGGAACGGAGACACGGACCAAACUCGUACGGAGGGCAGAAGUGAGGAAUAAUGGUCAAUAGGCGUUAGCCUGAAAAAGCCAAGUAGCGUGAAAGAGGAGGGCGUAGGAAUCGUAAACUGCUUGUGUAUAAGAAGAUGUAUUAUAUGAAUAAGGAUCGGCUAACUCCGUGCCAGCAGCCGCGGUAAUUC
rnacentral:rRNA from 1 species